rnacentral:rRNA from 1 species
UACGUAGGGUGCAAGCGUUUGUCCGGAAUUAUUGGGCGUAAAGAGCUCGUAGGCGGUUUGUUGCGUCGGCUGUGAAAUCCCGAGGCUCAACCUCGGGUCUGCAGUCGAUACGAGCAAACUAGAGUGUUGCAGGGGAGACUGGAAUUCCUGGUGUAGCGGUGAAAUGCGCAGAUAUCAGGAAGAACACCAAUGGCGAAGGCAGCUCUCUGGGACGGUACUGGACGCUGAGACGCGAAAGCGUGGGGAGCGAACAGG